GAGAAACGAAAGAAAUCCGUCAUUAAUCGAGAGAGAAAAGGGAGGUUUUGAUUUCGUUAGGGUUUUGCGUAUGAGAGGAGAAAGAGGCAGAUGCCGAGUUAAAUGAGGUUAACCCUCGAUAUGUCCGCAUCGAUCGAUGGCAGAACAGCUACAUCGAUCGAUAUUUCUCCAAAUGAACUACUCCUAAUUUCUAUUGCUCCUAAUAUUUUACUAAUAGCAAGAUAUAAAUAAAAUUACAAGAAAUUUUUUUUUUUUUGAAAGAAAAUGGGUUGCCUCCCAUUCAGCGCUUAAAUUUAAAGUCUUUAGCUCGACUUCCUGAAUAAACUAGUUAUCAGGGGUUCUUAGAAUAAUGGACAGAUUCGAUGGUGGUUUUGCCCAAUAAUGUUUCACUCGUUGGCCGUUCACUGUAAACUUGUCCCCUUUAUCGCUUUUU
rnacentral:lncRNA from 1 species